AGAUCAUUUUGGGGACAAUUUCUUAGUAACCCCUUAUAUCUCUCCCCCAGGCUUCAUACAAUGAUUCCCGAGCUUGUUGUUCAAAAUUGGCUAUGGCUUUCUUAAGUUU